rnacentral:tRNA from 2 species
GGGCCCAUAGCUUAGGUCGGUGGAGCGUCCGACUGAUAAUCGGAAGGUCAUGCGUUCAAAUCGCAUUGGGCCCA